rnacentral:rRNA from 1 species
CGGGUGAGUAAUGCUUGGGAAUAUGCCUUAUGUGGGGGACAACAGUUGGAAACGACUGCUAAUACCGCAUAACGUCUACGGACCAAAGGGGGGGGAUCUUCGGACCUCUCGCCAUUUGAUUAGCCCAAGUGAGAUUAGCUAGUUGGUGAGGUAAUGGCUCACCAAGGCGACGAUCUCUAGCUGGUUUGAGAGGAUGAUCAGCCACACUGGGACUGAGACACGGCCCAG